CAGCAGCCGCGGGAAUACGUAGGGUGCGAGCGUUAAUCGGAAUUACUGGGCGUAAAGCGUGCGCAGGCGGUUUUGUAAGACAGGCGUGAAAUCCCCGGGCUCAACCUGGGAAUGGCGCUUGUGACUGCAAAGCUAGAGUGCGGCAGAGGGGGAUGGAAAUCCGCGUGUAGCAGUGAAAUGCGUAGAUAUGCGGGGGAACACCGAUGGCGAAGGCAAUCCCCUGGGCCUGCACUGACGCUCAUGCACGAAAGCGUGGGGAGCAAACAGGAUUAGAUACCCCAGUAGUCCCUGUCUCUUAUAC
rnacentral:rRNA from 1 species